rnacentral:rRNA from 1 species
AGAGUUUGUCCUGGCUCAGGACGAACGCUGGCGGCGUGCUUAACACAUGCAAGUCGAACGGAAAGGCCUCUUCGGAGGUACUCGAGUGGCGAACGGGUGAGUAACACGUGGGCAAUCUGCCCUGCACUUCGGGAUAAGCCUGGGAAACUGGGUCUAAUACCGGAUAGGACCUCAAGACGCAUGUCUUCUGGUGGAAAGCUUUUGCGGUGUGGGAUGGGCCCGCGGCCUAUCAGCUUGUUGGUGGGGUGACGGCCUACAAAGGCGACGACGGGUAGCCGGCCUGAGAGGGUGUCCGGCCACACUGGGACUGAGAUACGGCC